AUGAACGCUGGCGGCGCGCCUAACACAUGCAAGUCGAACGGCACCUAUCUUCGGGUAGAAGCGAGUGGCGAACGGCUGAGUAACACGUGGAGAACCUGCCCCCUCCCCCGGGAUAGCCGCCCGAAAGGACGGGUAAUACCGGAUACCCCGGGGUGCCGCAUGGCACCCCGGCUAAAGCCCCGACGGGAGGGGAUGGCUCCGCGGCCCAUCAGGUAGACGGCGGGGUGACGGCCCACCGUGCCGACAACGGGUAGCCGGGUUGAGAGACCGACCGGCCAGAUUGGGACUGAGACACGGCCCAGACUCCUACGGGAGGCAGCAGUGGGGAAUCUUGCGCAAUGGGGGGAACCCUGACGCAGCGACGCCGCGUGCGGGACGGAGGCCUUCGGGUCGUAAACCGCUUUCAGCAGGGAAGAGUCAAGACUGUACCUGCAGAAGAAGCCCCGGCUAACUACGUGCCAGCAGCCGCGGUAAUACGUAGGGGGCGAGCGUUAUCCGGAUUCAUUGGGCGUAAAGCGCGCGUAGGCGGCCCGGCAGGCCGGGGGUCGAAGCGGGGGGCUCAACCCCCCGAAGCCCCCGGAACCUCCGCGGCUUGGGUCCGGUAGGGGAGGGUGGAACACCCGGUGUAGCGGUGGAAUGCGCAGAUAUCGGGUGGAACACCGGUGGCGAAGGCGGCCCUCUGGGCCGAGACCGACGCUGAGGCGCGAAAGCUGGGGGAGCGAACAGGAUUAGAUACCCUGGUAGUCCCAGCCGUAAACGAUGGACGCUAGGUGUGGGGGGACGAUCCCCCCGUGCCGCAGCCAACGCAUUAAGCGUCCCGCCUGGGGAGUACGGCCGCAAGGCUAAAACUCAAAGGAAUUGACGGGGGCCCGCACAAGCAGCGGAGCAUGUGGCUUAAUUCGAAGCAACGCGAAGAACCUUACCAGGGCUUGACAUAUGGGUGAAGCGGGGGAGACCCCGUGGCCGAGAGGAGCCCAUACAGGUGGUGCAUGGCUGUCGUCAGCUCGUGUCGUGAGAUGUUGGGUUAAGUCCCGCAACGAGCGCAACCCUUGCUAUUAGUUGCUACGCAAGAGCACUCUAAUAGGACUGCCGUUGACAAAACGGAGGAAGGUGGGGACGACGUCAAAUCAUCAUGCCCCUUAUGACCUGGGCUACACACGUACUACAAUGGCGUUUAACAAAGAGAAGCAAAGCCGCGAGGCAGAGCAAAUCUCCAAAAAACGUCUCAGUUCGGAUUGUAGGCUGCAACUCGCCUACAUGAAGUCGGAAUCGCUAGUAAUCGCGGAUCAGCAUGCCGCGGUGAAUGCGUUCCCGGGCCUUGUACACACCGCCCGUCACACCACCCGAGUCGUCUGCACCCGAAGUCGCCGGCCCAACCGCAAGGGGGGAGGCGCCGAAGGUGUGGAGGGUGAGGGGGGUG
rnacentral:rRNA from 1 species